AGUAGAUCAAGAUAUGGUGGCCAUUUGUAAGCAAAUGUAGAUUCAAUCUACCCGUCACGCCUCUUCAUGUGCGACGUGAAUGUUAGUGACAUUGAAAUGCUUCGAUCUGAAAAGGAUCAACAUGCAAAAAAUGUUGAAGGCAUGGAGGAAGCCUUAAAAGAGCUCCAGAAAGAUCAAA